CUUGGUCGCCUGAAUCAUGAUGAGACUGCUGAUGUAAUCUCUGUGUUGGAGGACUGAGCUGUAAACACUGGGGUGUUGGAAUCGUAAUCCUCUACCUCUGUUUAGUGAUGGCUUUUCUCGUUUGACCAAAAUUGCUUCUUUCACCCCUCUUUCAAAUCUGUUCUCCCAGUCCAAAAAUCUGGACAUCGUUGUCAUCAAUAGAGUGCCCUUUGUUCUUGAGGUGCCCUCCUGUGCUGCUCAAUGCAUUUAUCUAGCUGUUGUUUAGUUUCUCCUGUGUAGAAGUCCGAGCAGUCCUCACUGCAUUGAACCACAUACACAAUGCUGCUCAGCUGUGAUUUGGGUGUUCUGUCUUUGGGAUGAACCAGUUUUUGUCUGAGAGUGUUAUUAGGUUUGAAGUUUACUGGUAUGUUGUCUAUGGAGAAAAUUCUCCUGAGUUUCUCAGAAACUCCCGACACAUAUGGAAGGACAAUGUUUUGUACCUCUAUGUUCCAUCCUCUGUGCUGUUUUUUUCUGCCAGCUUUGUUGGCCCAUUUUGGGUAACCACAAGCUUGCAGUGAUUUCCUGAUGUGCUUGUGCUCUUUGUGUUUCCCCUUUGUGGCAGAGGGAAGGUUGUCAGCCCGCUAACUCAGAGUUCUGAUAACAGAGAGCUUGUGCUCCACUGGGCGAUGUGAAUCAAAAUGCUCUUGAUCUGUAUGUGUGGGCUUCCAGUAAACCUUACUUUUGAAACUCCCAUCUUCCUCAAUGUGUACCACACAGUCAGGGAAAGGCAGUCCCAACAGUGUUCACUGUCUUUGAUGUUGGGAAUUCUGGGGAACAAGGACACAACAACUGAGAUGGUCAGAGGGGGAUUGAACCAGCAACCCACCAAUUGCGCCACUGUUAAUAAUAAUAAUAAGCUGCUUUAAUGCUGUUUGAACAUACCAUGUCUUAUGGAACUUGUGAAGAUGGACCAAGCAGAACAGAUCGUCAAAGAACCUAACCACAGCAUUUACAGCACUUUGCUGUGGGAGUACAUGUUCACCAGCACCAAUGACGCCGCCCCACUCUCUUCAUCGGAAGCGAGUGGGGCGACGUCUCACUCUCGGAAGGAGACGGAGCAGAAUAAAUUGAUGAUAGUGACUGCAUAAUAUUAGACAACAUUCCCAGUUUUCAGCUGACGUUAACCUAAGAUGAGGACGAUGAAGAAAGCUGUGAGUUUGCGGCAGAGGAGCUGGAACAUAAGAAAUCCAAAGCUAUUGUCUGCACAACAUUUGAAGAAGACAGAGACAGUGAAAUGGAGAAGAUCCAUAACUUUGACUGCAAAUGUCACGGAAGAGAACUCUGCUCUUGGGAAACAGUCCUGCAGCCACAAAGUUUCUCCAGAGUCCAUGUACAAAAUACACCUAUAUUCUUUAGUAGCAGAAAGAGAGUGGUAUAGGACAUGAGAUGCAUCGGCCAUCUUGAAGCUAACAGGUGUAGAGUGGUGACUUCAGUCAUGACAACAUCCAUCAAGAAGAUACCGAUGAAAAGAAAACAUGCCAGGACAUCUUAUAUGAUUGGAGGUGUCGAAGUCUGCAGGAAUACUUUUCAGUUCCUCAUGGGAAUUUGCAGAGCCACGCUGACUGACACUUUGAAAAGAACGAAGCAAGAACACACUUGAGAAAAAGGGGCUCCCUUUUAUCAGCCCAGAGCAAAUUGACAGAGUUUUAGUUUUUUUUAAAGAUCUACACCAAAGAACUUGCCAUUAUGCUGCCUUGUCACCAUCAUGCUGCUUUGUUGCCAUUCUGGACAUAAGGAUUGGCAUGUGAAGUUGCUGCCAGCACAUGUGACCAAAGCCUCAGUGUGGCAUCUCUAUAGGAAGGCUACUAAGGAGCUUGGUUUGUAUAAAUCUUUUGAAAUAUAUAUCAGUUAAUCAAGCUUCAAGGUGCUUUGGAAUCAGCUUCUCCCACACAUAAGGAGCGGUAGGCUCUGCACAGAUCUCUGCUGGCAAUGCCAAUAGAAUGACGGCCAGCUGAUGAGAAGCACAAACCUUCCAGAUGAGAGGAAGACUGCAGCAAUUCAGAAGCAACAUCUUCACCUUGUUCAAAAAGAGAGAGAUUAGGAUGACUAAUGUCAAUGACAGCUUUGAUUUUGCACAGCAUGUAUUUAUCAUUCAUUGCAUAGGUUUUCCUUAUGAAGUACAAUAGACUGCUUGACCAACACAGCUUUUCUUUGAUCUAAUACUUUUUGUCCUGUCUGUCUUCAUUAUGUGCAGUUCCCAACAAACCUGCUUCAACCUGGACCAAUAUACUUCCUGACACCAUGGAAAUAUGGACUUUUUGGUGUCUCCUGUGAAGGGCUGUAAAAGCAGGUGAAUUACCUUAUUGAUGAAGGCACGUUGUUGGGGAAGGGGAGCAAUGAAGACAUCAGCUACAUGCACCACUUCUUCACUCAUUUCAAAGUUGGAGGAGCUGAUCAGGAUCUUCACUGUGACAACAGGACAAAAUAAAAACAACCUUAUGCCUUUGUAUGGCACCUGUGGGGUUGGACACAAGCUUCUCUCCACAUUAAGAAUUCAUUUCUUGACUGCUGACCUCACCAAAUUUGACCCAGACUGUGGCUUUGGGCUAAUCAAACAAGCAUAUAAGAGGGCCAGGGUCAACACACUGGCAGAUAUUAAAAAGGUGAGGCUGUUCCAUCUGGCAGAAAAUUGAAAGUCAGUAAUAUGUGGUCAUUAAGUCAACAGAUAGUGGAAAACAGCUUUCCUGAGAGCCUCCAUCCCACAGCUGGCCGCACUGGAAGAUGGCACAGUGAUAGUCAGGACAUUUGACUGGCCGGCACACCUACUUCUGAAAGCUUUAAAGAAUUAUCAGCACUUAAGCUUUGAUGCCAACACACCUGGUGUAGUGCUAGCUGGGACUCACAUCUUGCUAGCUUUCAGCUGCUGCGUGACCAGGAAGUUCUACCUCCCAUUGCGUGUAUUCCUGCCUUGCCUGCACCAGGACUCUUCAUACAAAGACAGUCAUAUCUUUAUUAAAAGAUUAGGCCUUUCUGUUCCAGUGAAGCCAAAGACAUCACAUGCCCAGCACCAAAAAGCACAACACAGAAGAGUGUGAUGUUGUGACAUUGACAUUUUGGUAUAAUGUAAUUAUUUAUUUAUUUUUUUACAGUUGUGCACACUUUUAAUUAAAAACAUUAACAUUGGCAUGAUCAGAAUCAAGUUAUUAUCCUCGUUUCUCUUUAUGGGUCCC